UACGAUUCAGACAAAAUUAAUGAACAUGAUAACUCUAGAGCAGUUGCUAUCCUUAUAGAUCUUAACAAAUUAGUGAAGUCCUCUAUGAAAUCUAUCCUCGACUUCUCUAGCUCGCAAAGUCACUACUAAAAGCACUAUAUUUUAACUAUUAUUUGUACAUAAAAUUAGAAUAUGACUUAAGAAUGACAGGAACAAAGCU
rnacentral:lncRNA from 1 species